rnacentral:lncRNA from 1 species
UCUGAUAGUUACUUGAAGAUGCUUAUCGAUGUCCAACGCUUAGGCACUACUUCGUGGUCAGAAGUGAGAUACGCAGAUACUCAGAAAUUAUAUAAUCACACUCCAGGCUUCAUUGACCUGGAAACUAACGAGGAGGUGAAAUCAUAUGACACUUUGCGUCAUCUAUCUCAUGCAGAAAAAGCGUAUAGCGCCUUGACAUAUGGUAUUUUAAAACAAAAAGAAGCAUUGCAAGAAAGUAUACGCAAUCUUCUAUCUUGGGCCAAAGAAAACUCUUUUAAUACUGAUAAAUUGAAUAAUAAGGUCGAGGAAUUAUUUCUUAAAGGUGACUUGCAUAAAAUUUCUUCAGAUCUAUUGCAAAUAGUCUGCGGCCACAGAGCUGAAAGUAUCGAAAUGCGACGUGAGACCAUAAGCAGCCAAAUCCGCGACCCUUUGGUAAAAGCUUCCGUAAAUAAAAUACCACCGUCAUCAACUUAUAUUUUUGAUAGCGAAUCCUUUACGAAAGUUUUGGAAAAGGCUGGAGGUGUCCGAAAAGCUUUUUGGCCACUGAAAACUGAUGCAUUUGUCUCAGCAAAAGCAACUCAAUCGAACAGCCGCCCCUCGCGGGGGCAGGGCGUUCGUAAACAAGUAGUUCCAUCGCGUGGAACUCAGUGUAAUUUUCACGAACAAAACUUACCAAUGCAGCCACAUAUCUGCAACAAUCCACCCUCGCGGGGUGGCUAUCAAUAUGCUAACUGCGGAUGUGAGGCACAUUUCUCAGGGAAUCGAUGCGACCAUAACUCCUAUGGUAGAAAAUCAUAUCACAACCGUGGUUCGCGGACUGACCGAUCAAAUAACAGAGGUCGCUCCGGUACAAAUCGAGGUUCCAGAGGUAAUCAAAAAAGAUAUAAACAAUGACUGGAGGCCUUUUCGGGCGGGUCGAUUAGCGCAAUAUUGCAAACAGUGGCAAAACAUGGGGGCACCAGAAAUUGUUCUAAGAUUAAUUCAGGGGUAUCGAAUACCUUUUUUCCGAAAGCCUCCUCUGAUAUUUCCAAAUUUAACCGAGGGCCCCUUUCAUACUACUGUUUCAGAGCAAAUGAAGGCUAUGAUACACAAAAUGAAAGCACAAGGUAUUUUAAAAGUGGCUCACCCGUCACCAAGUUUUAUUUCCCCCUUGUUUCUGGUUCCCAAGGCCGACGGAUCCAGUCGUCCGAUAUUCAACCUCAAAGCGCUAAACAACUAUGUACAGGCCGAACCAUUUCAUCUUAUAAAUAUGUACCGCAUACCAGAUUUUCUUCAACCCGAAGACUGGAUGUGCAAAAUAGACCUAACUCAAGCAUAUUUUCAUGUCAAAGUAGCAAAUUCGCACCGGCGUUUUCUUCGCAUUAUUUACAACCACGAGCUACUCGAGAUGACCUGUCUUCCUUUCGGAUUGAGCACGGCUCCGAAAACCUUUUCAAUUCUAACAAAUUGGAUUGCUCAAAAACUGAGGGACGAAUGGAAGGUUCUUGGACACAAGAAGAGCAAGCCAUGCACUGCAAUCAAAAGGAAAUGUUAGCCAUACUGUACGUUCUCCAAGACUACGCUCAUCUUCUACGUCACAGCUCGAUACUUAUCCAAAGCGACAACCAAACUGCUGUCGCUCACCUUCGAAAGGAAGGAGUGAGAGGCGAAGCCAAACCCGCUUCACGUACAGUGAUAGCAGGGUGGAUAAAAACAUUAUUUAAGGAAGCCGGAAUUUCAGCUACUCCAGGGAGUGUCCGGUCCGCAGUGGCCAGUAAAAAUUGGCUUGAGAAUUGCCCACUAGACGAAAUUCUGGCUCGUGGAAAUUGGCGAUCAGCUAACACAUUUAAGAAAUACUAUAGAAGAGAAGUGAUGAAAGUAAAUAAUUCCAGUACUGUUACUCAAUUGUUUAGCCCAAUUAAUCGUAAUUAAAGUCAGGUAUUAAAUAUUAUUAAACAUUAUUAUUAAUAUAAUAAA